rnacentral:rRNA from 1 species
UCGGGAAUUUUGUGCAAUGGGCGAAAGCCUGACACAGCAACGCCGCGUGAAGGAUGAAGUCCCUCGGGAUGUAAACUUCGUAAGAAUAGGAAGAAUAAAUGACGGUACUAUUUGUAAGGUCCGGCUAACUACGUGCCAGCAGCCGCGGUAAUACAGAGGGGGCAAGCGUUGUUCGGAAUUACUGGGCGUAAAGGGCGCGUAGGCGGCCCUCUAAGUCGAACGUGAAAUCCCUGGGCUCAACCCAGGAACUGCGUCCGAGACUGGGGGGCUAGAAUCCGGGAGAGGGAUGUGGAAUUCCAGGUGUAGCGGUGGAAUGCGUAGAUAUCUGGAGGAACAUCGGUGGCGAAGGCGGCAUCCUGGACCGGUAUUGACGCUGAGGCGCGAAAGCCAGGGGAGCAAACGGGAUUAGAUACCCACGUAGUCCCUGAGCGGGCUGGCAAGGCGCAU